GAUGAACGCUGGCGGCGUGCCUAAUACAUGCAAGUCGAGCGCACGGGCGAGAAGCUUGCUUCUCUGGUGUUAGCGGCGGACGGGUGAGUAACACGUGGGUAACCUACCUAUAAGACGGGGAUAACUUCGGGAAACCGGAGCUAAUACCGGAUAAUAUUUUGAACCGCAUGGUUCAAAAGUGAAAGACGGACUUGCUGUCACUUAUAGAUGGAUCCGCUCUGCAUUAGCUAGUUGGUAAGGUAACGGCUUACCAAGGCAACGAUGCAUAGCCGACCUGAGAGGGUGAUGGGCCACCCUGGACCUGAGCCACGGCCCAGACUCCUACGGGAGGCAGCAGUAGGGAAUCUUCCGCAAUGGGCGAAAGCCUGACGGAGCAAGGCCGCGGGAGGGAUGAAGUUCUUCGGAUCGUAAACCCCUGUUAUUAGGGAAGAACAUAUGUGUAAGUAACUGUGCACAUCUUGACGGUACCUAAUCAGAAAGCCACGGCUAACUACGUG
rnacentral:rRNA from 1 species